CUCCGGUCUGUAAGCCUAAAAAGGCUGCAUGCUGCACCCUGCCCUGGUGGUUCGUCUUCAUUGCUUGGUUCCUGCUUCUGUCCAUCAGUGGUAUCUCCACCUACUUCACCCUUAUCUACGGCUUUGAAUAUGGCAAGGACAAGUCUAUCCAGUGGGUCAUCUCCCUGGGCCUGUCACUCUUCCAAAGCAUCUUCAUCCUGCAGCCCCUCAAGGUGAUUGGCUUGGCUGUCUUCUUUGCCCUCCUUCUCAAGCCACGGGUGGUGGAAGAGAAUGAGGAUGUUGAGCUCCUGCUUGCUGAACAAAAGGAGAGGUGUCAAGAGUACUCUGGCACACAAUUACAGUAGGACUUAGCCUGAAGUCGGGCCUGGAGACACACUGUCUCAUGAAGAGGAAUCCAGGUGGACUUUCCAGAUACCGUAUCAUACACAAACUGCUGCACACAUUACUAAUAUGUUGAUUCAGAACAUAGCUAAUGAUCUAUUAGACAUAGUUAGAUUCUGAUGGUAUGCAUGAAUGUUGGGUGUUAAGAAGGGGCACUUUAUGUAUCCAUAUGUAGAUAUUCAGAAAUGAAACAGUAAUGUCAGUAAUAGAAAUACAAAAUGUUUCUUUCUGUUUGUGUCCAUUUUGUAAAUGUGUGGAGAGGACAUCUGGUCAUGGGGUUUAUUUAAAUUUUUAACAUGUAUGCUUUCGCCAGUUCAAUUUUCCAGUUCAUUGUGGAUGUUUUUUUUUUUUAUUGUUUAUCCUUAGAAGAUUGUUGAAUGCUUUGGUGCAUACAUUCAGAGUAAGACAGUGACAAGAGUCAGAGGACAUAAAACAAGUGACAAGAUUCAGCAUUAGCAGGUGUCCCUCCAUUAAAACAUCACCAGAGUGCUGUAAUUGAUUAGAUUUUGAUGAGAGACUCACUGGCAUGGAUGCAUGAUACAACAGUGUUGACAUCCAAUCACAUGUUGCUGGUCUGCACCUGGUCAAGGAGUAACAGCCACCCUAUGUGUGUCAGCCAGUGUUGUCUGAAUAACUAGGAAGCACACAGAUCUAUCAAUAUUUCCUUUAAGCCUUUCAUUUAACCUUAACAAGUCAGCUGGCUUCAUUUUUUUUUUCUUCCUGUCACUUUUGAUUGGUCCUAAAUACAAGCCUGUUACCUUGGAGAUGGUUCUUGUUUCCAUGGUGGUGUGCAGGAAAGGCAGAGUUAGCCUUUAUUAAGAAAUCUCAAUUGGGAGGGUGAGUCAGAAUCUGUGACAACGUUUCACCUACCUCAGCUGAAGCCUUGAGACCAGAGCGCUGACUGGGUGUCGUUUAUUGAACAUCAACUUUGGGUCCUCCUUUGUCUUUGGCAGUUACAUGUUACAGCGCUACCCUCUGGUGGUAUCACUCUGUACUGCAUGCAUGUUGAGUAUGUUCCACACCUUGUCUUGAACAAUGCAAUGCUAAUCUCCAUUUUCUUUGAAAGAAUAUAUAGUAAGUUAAUGACAAGAUUACUCAAAAAAUGAAUCAAUAUCUGAGUUAAGGAUGCUGUAAAGCAGAACUGAAAAUG